UUCAUUGAACUCUAUUUUGAAGGCAGAUAUAAAUGUUAGUAACACUAGCAUCUUGGGGCUAAUACCAUCAUUCAAUUCUAGACUAAAUGUUUGUGUCUUCAUAAUUUUAAGCCCUAACCCCUGGUGUGAUGGUAUUUGGAGAUGGGUCCCUUGGUAGGUAAUUAGGUUUAUAUGAGACCAAGAGGAUGGAUUCCCCAUGGUGGUAUUUGUGCUCUUAGAAGAAGAGGAAGACACUAGAGACCUCUUUUGCUCUACCAUGUGAGCAAGAGGUGACCAUCUGUAAACCAGGAGGAGCACUCCUGCCAGACGUUGAACAUGACAGUAUCUUGAUCUUGGACUUUAUAGCAUCCAGAACUAUGAGAAAUAAAUGUGUGUUGUUUAAGCCAUACAUUCUAUGGUAUUUUGUUUUAGUAGCCUGCGCUGACUAUGACACAUUCUAUCGUCCUUUAGUUAUUUUGUAUUUCAAAGAACUAACUACAGCCCGGUCUCCCUUUCAGUUCCAUUUACCAGUAAUUUUGGGUUAUUUCAGUAUCUUCCUAGGGGAAUUCCGUUUUUGGUGCAAUGUCUUUUAUUUAUAUUAUAUCAAAGGUUUGUCAGCUUUUUUGAGAUUUCUCACUAUUUUAUGUGUAACAAGCUACCCCAAAACUAGAUGGCUUAAAACAACCAUUUAUUUAUUUCAAGAUUAGAGUCAGCAGAACACAGUUCUCAUUAUCUGUGGUAGGCUUAGCUGAUACUUACUGGGCUUAUUCAUGUGUCUGGAGUCCGUUGCUUCAGCAGUCAGGGGGCUGGCUGGAUUCAGACAGCUUAGUUGAGACCGUCUCGAUGCUUGUGUCCUCCCUCAUUAUUCCACAGCCUAGUCUGGAAGACAGAGUCCCAACAGCAAGAGGGGAAGUGCUUAAACCUGCUGAUUCCUGGGCGUCACAUCAUAUUGCUUCCUCUACAUUUGAUUGACCAGACUAAGUCCUAAGGUUGACAAAGAAAUGAGAAUCAUCUUUAUUACCUUCAAAUUGAAAGUGGGCGGCAAGUUCUUAAUACGACUGAAAAUAAUAAAUACCCAGAAGUGGAAUGGCUGGAUCAUAUGGGAGUUCUUUUUGUAAUUUUUGAGGAGCCUCCAUGCUGUUUCCACAGUAAGUAUAACAAUUUACAUUCCCACCAACACUGCACAAGAGUUCUCUUUUUUCCCACAUACUUGCCAAUACUUGUUAUUUCUUGUAUGUUUGUUUUGUAUUGUUUUGCUCUUUUUUUUUUUAGGCUUUUUUUGUUGUUGUUAAUAGGUAUGAGGUGAUAUCUUACUGUAGUUUUCAUUUUCAUUUCCCUUAUUAUUAAUGUUAGACACUUCUUUAUGUAAUCCUUUUGGUCAGUCGUAUGUCUUCUUGGAAACAUGUCUAUUCAGACCACCUGCCCAUUUUUAGUUGGAUUAUUUUUUUUGUGUUGAGUUGUAUGAGUUCUUUACAUGUCUUGGAUAUUACCCCCUUAUCAGAUAUAUGGUUUAUAAAUAUUUUCCCCAUUCGUUAGGUUGCCUUCCAUUAAUGGUUUCCUAUGCUGUACAGAAGCUUUUCACUUUUAGUUGAUUCGUAAAUAGAUGAGGCUGUGUUACAUUUUUUUAGUGGGAUACAUGCAAAAAGAUCAUCUACCAUAUAUUAAGCAAGGUUUGAAGGCAGGAGAAAUCGACAAUCCCAUGGAGCAGAUGAAAAAUUUCAAAACAGAACGAGGCUGGUAUGAUCAAUUCAUGCAUUGUACAGGACAAUGUUGAUAUGGUCUCCUAUUAUAUUUUGUCAGGAACUUCCUGCUGACUUUAAACAAAAACUGCUUAACUUCUAGUGACAUGCAAUUCAGUGAGAAAGAUGGUGAAAUAUUGUGUGUCAUAGUUGAGUUUUUUUUCUUAAAAGUGCAUAAAAUAAUGACAUCUUACAUUAGAUAGAAUCUAGAUUUAAAGAUUAUAGUAAUAAAAUUAUACUGAUAAAUAUAGGAAAAAGAAGUUAAAGCAAGAUUUUUAUAAAGCUAUUUUUAAGGUACCAUUUUUAUGUUUUUUUUCUUUCUAAUUUUCAAUAAUAAGGCACCAUUACUGUGUGUUUUCACCUAAGACAUUGUACUAAUCACUUUUAUUCAUAUCUCUUUUAUUAUUUGUUUCUGUUCAGUAAGGCAAAUAUUACUAUCUACAUUUUAUAGAUAAAAAAUUGAAGGCAAAUAUUACUAUCUACAUUUUAUAGAUAAAAAAAUUACAAAAAUUACAAACAAGGCCUAUAGCUUGGCAGACCCAGAGUGGGGACCAAAACUUAUGCUCACGUUAUAUUUUCUGUCAAUCAUUCAUUAAUGAUUCUAAGGAAGUAUUUCUUGUUCCCUUCUACCUGAAAGUCUACCAAUAAUAGAUGUAUUUACAGAAAUCUAGCUUCCAGACUUUACAGAAUGUGUUGCGUUAGGUCUUUAAUCAUUUGGGUCUGAUUAGAUUGCUAUGCUGGUAAACUCCCUGUUUGCUUUCAGAUUCAUGCUCCACCCUUCCACUGCUUUCCUUUAGAUUAUAAGACCCAACAUUUACCAAUUUCAUUUCCCUUUGAUUUCCAGGGAAGCUCUGGCAGAAGGCUAGGGGUGUGUGAUGAGGGGAGAAACCAGAUAUUUAUUCCCCUCUCUCUCUACUUAUUCAGGAAGCUGGUUUGUUUCCUCCACACCUCCAGCACUAGCUGCCCAGGCUGGCUGUGUUCUGACAAUACCAUCUCCUUCCUUGUCCUUUUGGUGCUAAGGGUGUAGCUCUUUCCUGAUAUUGCUAAUCUCUGUGUUGUCUUACUGUCCUUGAUUCAUUUCUUAGCUCUUGCAUAUAUCUCUUGUAUAACCAGUUUUUUUGUACAGAUUCUCUCCUUGAAAGAUCUAAAGUUAUUUCAAUGAAAAAACCCAUUAAUUGCCUUAAUACAUUUAUUAAGGACUUUCAUUAAAAGACAGCAGGUCCUCUUGUUACUGGAUCUACUUGGUCUAGAUUACUAUUGGACAUAUAUUCAAAGAGAAAAGAUGACAAUUUAGCUCCCUGUAUCUGUAACUAAUUUGUUAAGUCAUGGGAAUCUUAGCACUUUUCUUUCUUCCUUUCUCCUUUUCUCUCUCUCUUUCAUUUUUACAUACA